rnacentral:rRNA from 1 species
AUGCCGGAGUACUGCGUGACCGGCGGGACGGGGUUCAUCGCGUCGCACCUGAUCCGGGCGCUGCUCGCCGCCGGGCACACGGUGCGCGCCACGGUGAGGGACCCGAGCGACGAGGCCAAGGUCGGGUUCCUGUGGGACCUGGAGGGCGCCGACGAGCGGCUGCAGCUGCUGCGCGCCGACCUGCUCGUGGAGGGCUCCUUCGACGCGGCCGUCAGCGGCGUGGACGGCGUCUUCCACGCCGCCUCCCCCGUCGUCGUCAGCUACGAGGACGGCAAGGACGCGCAGGAGAAGCUGGUGGACCCGAUCGUGAAGGGCGCGGGCAACGUGCUCCGCUCCUGCGCCCGGGCCGCGGUCCCGCCGCGCCGCGUGGUGUUCACCUCCUCCUGCUCCUGCGUGCGGUACCGGCACCACCACGUGCACGGCGGCGCCCCGCCGACGCUGAACGAGUCCCACUGGAGCGACGCCGACUACUGCCGGACGUACGGGCUGUGGUACGCGUACGCCAAGACGGUGGCGGAGAAGGAGGCGUGGCGGCUGGCGACGGAGCACGGGCUGGACCUGGUGGUGGUGAACCCGUCGUUCGUGAUCGGGCCGGUGCUGGGCCGGGCGGCGCCCACGAGCACCGCACUGGUGGUGCUGGCGCUGCUGAAGGGCGACCUGGGCAAGUACCCGAACACGACCAUCGGGUUCGUGCACGUGGACGACGUGGUGCUGGGGCACGUCCUGGCCAUGGAGGACGGCAGGGCGUCCGGCAGGCUCAUCUGCUCCGGCGACGUCGCGCACUGGUCCGAGGUGCUCAGGUCGCUCCGGGAGCGGUACCCGCAGUACCCCAUCCCCACAGAGUGCAGCGGCGGGAAGGGGGACGACAGGGCGCACAAGAUGGACACGAGCAAGAUGGAGGCGUUGGGGUUCCCUCCAUUCCUCUCCAUCCAGCAGAUGUUCGACGACUGCAUCAAGAGCUUCCAGGACAAGGGUCUUCUUCUUCCUUGA